UCAUAAUAGCAUCUUGUCUCUCUCGGUAGGCCAAAAUACAUGUCAGUUUAUUUAAUUUUCUAAUUUUGGACUUUCAAACUUAUUUUCUAAUUAGAAAUAAUUUGAGGAAGUAGAGGUCCAUUACAUUUUUCAAAAAUGCAAUUUUCUUGCUGAUCUAUUAAUAGUAUAGUAUUUUUAAAUGUUUUACUAAGAAGGUAAUUUUAGGAUUAAAGGAUAAUUUAUGUAAUGUCAAAUAGCAGUAAUAAUAGUAAUUCAGUGAAUACAUUGCUUAUCAAUUACCCUCUUUUUCUCAGCAACUUUUUCUGCUUUGUUUUGGAGGCAUCAACUACCAACUGGUCAUUCACUGGUUUGCCAUUUUUAGCUCCAAAAUUUGGUAUGCUCUGACCAAUUUUUAUUCAAAUGUGUGAGUUAAGACUAACAAUUCAUGAUUUUAAAUAUUUCCUGAGUCAUUUUUGUCUGUGUACUGAGUCCAGCUAAGUAGAAAUUACCUAUUUCCAGGUUGUAGUAUUAUAUAUAGUAUAUAUAAUUGUAGCAUAUUAUUACAGUUAUAUGUACAAUAUACUAAUGUAAUACAUUGUAAAUAAAUACUAUUGUAUAAAUGUUAUACAGUGUAGCCACUUUCUCCUUUACUGGAAAGGGGAAUGUUUUCCUGUGCCACCAUGUAAUUUGCUUUGCAACAAUUAUUGCUGUUUGUAACCAGAUCUUCUGAUCACAAGACACAUGUAGCUGAAUUUAGAAUCUGAAGAGAACACAGAAGGCAGCAUGACUGCUUCUAAAUGUCAUUGAUUUAAUGAUUUUAAC
rnacentral:lncRNA from 1 species